GACGAACGCUGGCGGCGUGCUUAACACAUGCAAGUCGAACGGUGAAGCGCCUUCCUUUUUGGUGGGUGUGGAUGAGUGGCGAACGGGUGAGUAACACGUGAGUAACCUGCCCCCUUCUUCUGGAUAACCGCAUGAAAGUGUGGCUAAUACGGGAUAUUCUGGGUCUGUCGCAUGAUGGGUCUGGGAAAGAUAUUGUUUCGGUGGGGGAUGGGCUCGCGGCCUAUCAGCUUGUUGGUGGGGUGAUGGCCUACCAAGGCGGUGACGGGUAGCCGGCCUGAGAGGGUGGACGGUCACACUGGGACUGAGACACGGCGCAGACUCCUACGGGAGGCAGCAGUGGGGAAUAUUGCACAAUGGGCGCAAGCCUGAUGCAGCGACGCCGCGUGAGGGAUGGAGGCCUUCGGGUUGUGAACCUCUUUCGCCAGUGAAGCAGGCCUGCCUCGUUUGUGAGUGGGUUGACGGUAGCUGGAUAAGAAGCGCCGGCUAACUACGUG
rnacentral:rRNA from 1 species